CAGCCGCCGCGGUAAUACGUAGGUCCCGAGCGUUGUCCGGAUUUAUUGGGCGUAAAGCGAGCGCAGGCGGUUAGAUAAGUCUGGAGUUAAAGGCUGUGGCUUAACCAUAGUACGCUUUGGAAACUGUUUAACUUGAGUGCAAGAGGGGAGAGUGGAAUUCCAUGUGUAGCGGUGAAAUGCGUAGAUAUAUGGAGGAACACCGGUGGCGAAAGCGGCUCUCUGGUCUGCCACUGACGCUGAGGCUCGAAAGCGUGGGUAGCGAACAGGAUUAGAUACCCCGGUAGUCCCUGUCUCUUAUACC
rnacentral:rRNA from 1 species